rnacentral:rRNA from 1 species
UACAGAGGGUGCAAGCGUUAAUCGGAGUUACUGGGCGUAAAGGGCGCGUAGGCGGUCAUGCAAGUGAGAUGUGAAAUCCCCGGGCUUAACCUGGGAACUGCAUUUUAGACUGUGUGACUGGAGUACUGUAGAGGAUAGUGGAAUUUCGUGUGUAGGGGUGAAAUCCGUAAAUAUACGAAGGAACGCCAAAAGCGAAGGCAGCUCUCUGGGUCCCUACCGACGCUGGGGUGCGAAAGCAUGGGGAGCGAACAGG